UAUCUACUCCCUCCGUUCAGAAUUACUCGUCAUAGAAAUGGAUGUAUCUAGACAUUUUUCAGUUUUAGAUAUAUUCAUUUCUGUGACAAGUAAUUCGGAACGAAGGGAGUAUCCA
rnacentral:pre_miRNA from 1 species